CACGUAGGGCGCAAGCGUUGUCCGGAAUUAUUGGGCGUAAAGAGCUCGUAGGCGGUCUGUUGCGUCCGCUGUGAAAACUCGGGGCUUAACCCCGAGCCUGCAGUGGAUACGGGCAGACUAGAGGUAGGUAGGGGGAGAAUGGAAUUCCCGGUGUAGCGGUGAAAUGCGCAGAUAUCGGGAGGAACACCGGUGGCGAAGGCGGCGACCUGGGUCGAGACUGACGCUGAUGCGCGAAAGCGUGGGGGAGCAAACAGG
rnacentral:rRNA from 1 species